rnacentral:other from 1 species
AAUUCCCUACCAUGCUCGUGAUGGUUAAGGUAAGCUAUUGAGCCAACACCUCUCUGUGGGAUGCUCAAAUUUGAUGAGGGAUGUCAUGCCCUCUCGUUAGGGAAGACAAAACUGAUCAUGAGAGUUUCCACUUGAACCUUCGGGUUCAAAAGCUCCCUUUCACACGGCAUAGCGUGGGGAAUUU